CCUGCUUUUCUUAGCGGGGGUUGGGCUUGCAGUCCCGGUCCCCAUAAUGUACAGAGGCAGAGGGAAAGGGCUCCAGCCCCCUUGGUGUCACGCUUCGGUGCCAACGGUUUCCAGUCAGUGGUUCUGUCCCUGAGGGUUAGGACACUG